AUUAUGCAGCAUAUUUAUUUGCGACGAGCAUCUAGGAAAGAUGAACGAUUCAAACCCCUGCUGGAGUAGAACGCGGGAUGCAUGGGGAAACUAUGAACGUGCUACAAUUAUACCCUUCGAUGCAACGGUUGAACUUCGAAAAUUAUCCCAUCUCUUUUUAUCGAUAAGCGAAAAAAGAUGAGCUGAACUGAUUUCCUCUCAGUGCCUCUCGAAAUCAUGCAGUCGUACAUGAGGAGUAAACAUUAAACUGCUAAAAGCUUAGGUUGCAACGGACCUUCCGAUGACAGCAAACGUAAAUGAAGAUGCUGAUCCUUCGGAAAUGGAAGGCGAACCAAAACCGUUCACGAAGAUUGUUUCGGGAGAUGUUGUUCGCAAACGGCACCAGUCCGCAACAUCAGCCAGAAUCAGAUGCCGUGUAUUACGAGGCAAAAUAAAACACCUCCACCACCUUCCUCUACUGGAUAAACUAAUGAACAAUUGCAAAUUAACAUUGAAAAUAUAAGGCACGCACGACAUUUGUAGCACCAUCAAUUGAUGGUCUGGAUUCAGUAUUUAGAGUAUCGCUAUCAGUUUCAGUAAGACUAAAGAGGCUAGUAAAAUCAUCCGCAAUGGGUUCUGAUGCAGAAUCAGCAUUCACUGUUCGUCUGGGUCUCCAGGCCAUCUUAAGCAGCCCUUGGACAUACACACGCAGAAGCUAAAUGCAGAAAUCUUGGUUGAAGAGAAUAAUGGUAAACUUCUUUCAAACUCUAAUCAUCUGUCUUUCAAACUUGAGGCUUACGGUACAAUGUUCUGCUGGAAUAGGACUUAAAUAUCACGGACUGCUAGUAUCACUAUAAUAAACCUGGCUGGUUCAAUUACAAAAUACUGCUCUAGAAAAAACAUCAAUUCAAACGAGCCCUCAACGGAAGUGCCAAGCGGAAUAAAAACUUUGUUGCUUUUUUUAUGUGUCGAUUAAGGUAUCGUCCGGUUUUGCAGAACGCUUCUGAUGCACUUUGACCACAACGAGACUUUGAAUUGAAUGAAGAAAAUGCCCAUAUUUUAUCGUUUCAAGUUGGCCAAAUAAUCCGCUGGGUUUCCUCAAUCUGCCGAAUCAAGUGGAGAUUUUCAGUCAACCAUGGUGCUGUAUAACGACUGAGUUUAUUCAUACCCAAU